rnacentral:rRNA from 1 species
GUCCACGCCGUAAACGAUGGAUACUAGCUGUUGGGAGCAAUCUCAGUGGCUAAGCGAAAGUGAUAAGUAUCCCACCUGGGGAGUACGUUCGCAAGAAUGAAACUCAAAGGAAUUGACGGGGCCCGCACAAGCGGUGGAGCAUGUUGUUUAAUUCGAUGAUACGCGAGGAACCUUACCAAGGCUUAAAUGUAGAUUGACUGGUUUGGAAACAGACUUUUCGCAAGACAAUUUACAAGGUGCUGCAUGGUUGUCGU